ACCCCUGUUUUUGGUCCCAA
rnacentral:snRNA from 1 species